CGGGGCGCCGGGAGGAGUCUCGCGAGAGCGGAGCCCGGCGCGGGGGCGGGGCGCGGGGCGCAGUCUCGCGAGAGCUGCCGGCCCGCCGGCGCCCCCCGGCCCGCUUCCUGUCGCUGACAUGGUCGCCGGCGAUGGACCCUCCCAGGACAGGAAGCCCUUACCAGCCCGCCAUUGAAGCUUUGGAAGGACACCCAGAGAAAAAGUUUUACAACGUGUCGAAGCUCGGAGGUGCCAAGUAUGAUGCUCUGCCUUACUCCAUCCGAGUGUUGUUUGAGUCCAGUGUCCGGAACUGCGAUGGCUUUUUAGUGAAAGAAACGGAUGCUAUGAACAUCUUGGACUGGAAAACAAAACAGAACUAUGUUGAAGUGCCCUUCUGUCCUGCCAGAGUUGUUCUUCAAGACUUCACUGGAAUUCCAGCAAUGGUGGAUUUUGCUGCCAUGAGAGAAGCUGUGAGAAAUGCUGGAGGAGAUCCGGUGAAAGUCAAUCCUGCCUGCCCAACUGAUCUCACUGUUGACCAUUCUCUGCAGAUUGAUUUCAGCAAAUGUGCAAUCCAGAACGCUCCCAACCCCGGUGGGGGUGAGCAGAAGCCGCUGGCCAGGCUGUCCCCGCUGAAGCCACCGCUGCGGAAGCCGCCCCCGUGCCGGGGCCACAGCGGCUGCCGGGGCUCGUGCGGCGCGGGGGAAGCCGGCCGCAGCUCAGGACCCUUCUCUGCGCAGAUCGAGAACACCCCCAUCCUCUGCCCCUUCCACCUGCAGCCCGUGCCUGAGCCUGAAACAGUAUUGAAAAAUCAAGAGAUGGAAUUUGGCAGAAAUAGAGAGAGGCUUCAAUUUUUUAAGUGGAGUUCAAAAGUUUUUGAGAAUGUUUCCAUAAUUCCACCCGAGACUGGAAUGGCGCACCAAGUGAACUUGGAAUAUUUGUCCCGAGUGGUUUUUGACGAUGUGAAAGAUUUCCUGCAUCCCGAUAGCGUGGUUGGCACAGACUCACACACAACCAUGGUAAAUGGCUUGGGUAUCUUGGGCUGGGGCGUCGGGGGCAUUGAGACGGAAGCGGUGAUGCUGGGAAUGCCGCUCACCCUCACCCUGCCUGAGGUGGUGGGCUGUGAGCUGACAGGCACAGUCAGCCCCUUUGCCACAUCUAUAGAUAUUGUUCUCAGCAUUACAAAGCAUCUUAGACAAGCCGACGUCGCUGGAAAAUUUGUUGAGUUUUUUGGGAGUGGUGUUUCCCAACUGUCCAUAGCAGACCGAACCACAAUAGCAAAUAUGUGUCCUGAAUAUGGUGCUAUUCUGAGUUUUUUCCCUGUUGAUAAUGUGACAUUGAAGCACUUAAAGCAUGCAGGUUUUGAUAAGGCCAAACUUGAAGUCACUGAAGCAUAUCUUAAAGCUGUGAAGUUAUUUAGAGAUUAUGAGAGUUCUUCCAGAGAGCCUGAGUAUUCCCAGGUAGUGCAAGUUAGUCUAAGUUCUAUAAUUCCGUAUGUCAGUGGCCCCAAGAGAUCCCAAGAUAGAGUGGCUGUUAAUAACAUGAAAAGUGACUUCCAAGCCUGCUUAAAUGAAAAGUCUGGUGUUAAAGGCUUUCAGAUUGCAGCUGAGAAGCAGAAUGACAUUGUGCCUGUUCAGUAUGAAGGAAAUGAAUACAAGCUGUCCCAUGGCUGCGUUGUCAUUGCUGCAGUCAUCAGCUGUACAAACAAUUGCAAUCCAUCAGUCAUGCUUGCUGCAGGACUCCUGGCCAAAAAAGCUGUUGAGGCUGGCCUCGUGGUGAAGCCCUACAUCAGAACAAGUUUAUCACCUGGCAGUGGCAUGGUUACACAUUACCUCAGUUCCAGUGGAGUAUUGCCAUACCUCAGCAAGCUUGGGUUUGAGGUUGUUGGUUAUGGAUGUUCCACCUGUGUUGGGAACAUGGCCCCUUUGCCAGAAGCCAUCAGGAAUGCAAUCAAACAGGGUGAUAUCAUUGCCUGUGGGGUAUUGUCUGGCACAAAGAACUUUGAGGGCCGCCUGUGUGACUGUGUUCGUGCCAACUACCUGGCGUCCCCUCCGCUGGUCGUGGCCUACGCCAUCGCGGGCACUGUGCGGAUAGAUUUUGACAUGGAGCCUUUGGGCACUGGCUUUAACGGCAAAAGUAUUUACUUACGAGAUAUUUGGCCCACCCGACAAGAACUUCACACAGUGGAGGAAGAGUGUGUGAUAUCAUCCAUGUUUAAGGAAUUGAAAGAAAAGAUGGAGAAAGGAAACAAACGAUGGAAUUUACUGGAAGCACCAGAGUCUACUUUAUUUCCCUGGGAUUUAAAAUCUACUUAUAUUAGAUGUCCUUCCUUUUUUGAUAAACUUGCCAAAGAAGCAGCUCCACUACAAGCAGUUGAGAACGCUCACGUGUUGCUGUUCCUGGGGGACUCUGUCACCACGGAUCAUAUUUCCCCUGCUGGAAGCAUUGCAAGGAGCAGUGCUGCUGCCAAGUACCUGACCAGCAAAGGACUCACACCUCGUGAAUUCAACUCUUAUGGGGCUCGAAGAGGUAAUGAUGCUGUAAUGACAAGAGGUACCUUUGCAAAUAUCAAGCUUCUGAAUAAGUUCAUUGGAAAGCCAGCUCCUAAAACAGUUCACUUCCCAUCAGGACAAACGCUAGAUGUGUUUGAAGCAGCGGAGCUGUACCAGAAGGAAGGCAUUCCUGUAAUAAUUCUAGCAGGAAAGAAGUAUGGACUGGGUAGCUCAAGAGACUGGGCUGCAAAAGGGCCUUUUUUACUGGGUGUUAAAGCUGUCCUAGCUGAGAGCUAUGAGAAGGUUCAUAGGAGUCAGCUGAUUGGAAUUGGCAUCGCUCCACUUCAGUUUCGUCCUGGGGAAAAUCCAAGUACUUUGGGACUCACUGGCAGAGAGCAGUUUUCUAUAUUGUUCCCUCCAGACCUGUCACCCAGAAUGACUUUGGAUAUUAAGACAAGCACUGGAAAAGUAUUCAGCGUGAUUGCCUUGUUUGAAAACAAUAUGGAGAUAACUUUAUACAAGAAUGGUGGAAGUCUAAACUUUGUAGCUCGAAGAUUCUUAUAGUAGCUACUGACUCUCUGGGUACCCUGCAUAACUGCUAACUCAGCAAAUGCCUUGUGUGAGCCCAGGAAUCUGUACUGUGGAACUGCAAACAGUCCUAGUGUGCUCAAAGUUACUUCGUCCAUGGAUGUAAAAGAUUGUGAAUCAUUGUAACUGCAACAAGAUCCUUUCUGAUUUUAAAUAAUAUUCUAAUGGUGCUAUUAAACAUUGCUAAAAUCAACAUGUGUAUUGUGACAAGAGAGCUGUGAGAUGAAAAUCAUUCCACUGACUCCUACCACUUCUAAGGGGGAUAAAUCAAUGCAGUUUUAAAUAUUGUAUUCAACUGAAUGCUGAACGAGUUCAUGUUCUGUGGUACACUUCCAUUAAUUCUAUCCAGAGUGACUGGGCAGAACCUACUUCUUGUACAGCAGUGUCUAAUACUGUUUUAUGCCAGCUCAAAGGUAUAUUCUUGAUUUAGUUCAAGAAAAUGUUAUUGCAGAGAAAAUGGGAGUUUAGUGCUGGUUCAUACGAUGCCUCAUGCAGAUGAUACGACUGCAACUCCAUGCCUAUUUACAGCUUGUGUAACUAAUGCUUGAAGGAAACACAACCCCCUGCCCUCUCUCCUUGUUUCAGGAGACAGGGAUCCAAGCCAUAUCAAGGCAGACUGAUGAGGUGAAGUGCAAUUUCAAGGCAUGUGAUUUACCUGCAAGCUGUCAGCAGUAAAGCAAGUCAGCUCUUUUUAGAGACAUGGGGCUUCAUUACCUUGGCAGCUGCUUUAAUUCUGCUGCACUACAGUGUCUUGUAGUCCACAAGAGAGAGGUUCUGUGGUGUGCUUGAGCACAGGGACUGCUCAGCUGGAGGCUCCUAUUGCUGCUGUAGCUGGUCCAGCUCUAAACAAGCCCACGUCAGUGGCAUCUCUGAGGUGUGCAGGCUGACUCCUACCCUUGGACCUGGACCCUCUGGGGUAGGGGUGCUGUGUGGGACAGCACUGCCUAUGUACCACUUGCUCAGUGGUGGGGAACUGCCUGUGCAGGGAACACCAGGCUUGUGAGCCAUGGGAACAGCCCUGUUCCCUUUCCCUUUUGCAGAGUGCAGCUCAAGAGCCCAGCAGCCAAUGAAGACGUUAACUUUGGACACACUGCUGGGAGCCUGAGGGCCAUAGGUGGGCAGGUGUGGCAGGAGACCUCUGGCAGAGCACGGGACAGUCAGGAUUGCUGUGCUCACACAUGAAACACUCAAUUACACCUCUCUUUAGUAUCCUAAAGCAUAGGAGGACAUGUUCCUGUUUGACAAAUGACUCAGUGUGUUAGAUGUAUUUAACCUAGACCUUUCUCCAUUUGGAUUUGGGGAGAGAAUUUUGUUGAAGUUUUUGUAAAUGUUUCCUCUUCUUGCUUCCCUCUUCCUCCCUAUCCCAAACUACAAAGCUCUGGGAUAGUGUUGAUGUUUAUACAUUUUACACCUAAGUAUAAGGACAAGAAGCUAUGUAUAUUAAUCCUAUUUAAGCAACUGCAAAUCAUUGUCUGCUGUUUAAAGCCAACAGAACAGUGUAAGUUUUAAGUUCAGUAAGUAUUGUAUAGAUAUAUCUUAAGUUCAAUUGAUGAAAAUUGUGCAUAAAAUGUUACCAAUGCUGUAAAUUAUUUUUAAUAAAGUAAAUUGUACCACA